rnacentral:lncRNA from 1 species
AGGACAUUUACGUAUGGGGAAGAACCACCAGACUCGGCAAUGACUGUAAUUACGUAGAGGUGUCAUCUUGUGAAGAGGUCAGCAUGGCUCCUGCCUCUGGUCGUCCCAUGACUACCAAACACCACGGCACAUCUGUAUCUAUAUUCAAGUUUCCAUCGAGUGUUUCUUUGGCUGCAUCCCUCUGUGCCUUCUGCAGGAGUGCUGGGCACCUGCUGCAGUCGUGGAUGGCCCUCAGAUCUGGCUGGUGCAAGCUCCCCUCCUGCAAGGGUUCAAGCGCCCCCUCCAGUCUGUCGGCUUUUGACGGCUCUCCAGUGCUUCUCACAGCUGGGUUUCUAUAUUCUGUGCAGAGUUCAAUUUUUAACUGUGGAACGGUUAGUCUGAUAAGUUCUUCCUCUAUUACUGAAACCAAAAUUCCUCUGAAGCUUGCACUUUUUAUUCUGUGGUAGUUCUAAUUAAGAAAGCAUGCUACAUUUUAUCAUUAAUUUUAGGAUAGUUCCAUCACAGGCUUACAUAAAGGCAUUGUAAAAACUUUCUAAGUGUAAGAUAGUGCUACUACUAAGCUAACUUUACUAGGUUUUUCUUCACAAAUUUACCCAAAGUGGAAUUUAUUCCAUUUUCAAAUGUCUAAUAAAAUGUUGAACAUUGUUCAAUGAGUGUUCUUGCAAUGACUAGAGGCUUUCCUCUAGACUGACAUGAAGACAUGAUGGCAAUAAGUCAGCAACUAGGACUCCUGAAAAUAUCAGGAAAAACUGUCAAAUGACUUGCAGAAACCUAAAUUCACCAUGUAUGCCAUUUCUCUAUCAAAUCAAGUGUGUGUCCAAGAAGAAAACAAGUUAGUACUGCAUGUGCCU